UACGGAGGGUGCGAGCGUUGUCCGGAAUCACUGGGCGUAAAGGGCGCGUAGGCGGCCCGCGCAAGCGUGCGGUGAAAGCCCGGGGCUCAACCCCGGGUCGGCCGUGCGGACUGCGGGGCUCGAGCACUGUAGGGGCAGAUGGAAUUCCGGGUGUAGCGGUGGAAUGCGUAGAGAUCCGGAAGAACACCGGUGGCGAAGGCGGUCUGCUGGGCAGUAGCUGACGCUGAGGCGCGAAAGCGUGGGGAGCAAACAGG
rnacentral:rRNA from 1 species